rnacentral:lncRNA from 1 species
UUGAUCAAAUUACUAAACUGCUUCGUUACUCUAUACCCCAGCCUACAAAUUUUCAUUGCAAGUAAACACAACAACGAUAUACAAAAUCACAAAUUGGUCAUAGUCUCAUAUAACCCAUACACCCAAAUCAAAGUUUCUAGUAACUACACAAUCAAUAUCACAAAAUCGGUUAAGAUUAAUAACCAUGCCCAUAAAGUUUUCGACAGUAUAUUUCUAAAAGAAAAGCGACAAUACCGGAAAGAACCCCAGCACGAUCUAUGAGUAGGGAUUCAAAUACGAAGAAAGCAGAUAGUGAAAGAGCAGGGUUGAUACCUCCCAACUGGUUGCACAAGAAGUAUGAUUGAUUGGCCUCGAGACUCACGGUGUCCGGUUGCUUCGUUUUGGGUGGAGGCGCCGCCACUGCUGCAGGGUUUUCAGCUGCACUCUCGGUCCUUGUUACUCCAUAGCUUAGAGCCUCACCAGCCUCGUUAGAGAGAGUCUGUCAAAAUCUUGAGGGAGGUGGCCAGAUUUCAGAAUGAGUUUUGUAUUUAUACCUAGCCCCUUAGAAUCCAUCAAAAUCCAACAACUAAUGAAAUCCGUGAGAAUCUACGGAGUUUUGAAUACCAGCCCAUUUUAAUGGAUAUUUUAAAAUUUUAAUUGAAUACCUCAGGAUUUAAAUAAACUUUUCAAAAUCUUAAUUUGAAUACCCAUAUACUUUUAAAGUCUAAAAAAAUCUAACAGACUCUCAAUUGAAUAC